UGCCAGCCGCCGCGGUAAUACGGAGGGUGCAAGCAUUAAUCGGAUUUAUUGGGCGUAAAGAGCGCGUAGGCGGGAAUGAAAGUCAGACGUGAAAUCCCGAAGCUUAACUUCGGAACUGCGUUUGAAACUUCAUUUCUUGAGGAUAGACGGAGAAAACGGAAUUCCACAUGUAGCGGUGAAAUGCGUAGAUAUGUGGAAGAACACCCGUGGCGAAGGCGGUUUUCUAGUUUAUAACUGACGCUGAGGCGCGAAAGCUAGGGGAGCGAACAGGAUUAGAUA
rnacentral:rRNA from 1 species